GCGCCUUUAGGCAGAGGUUACACGCGGGUUUAAUUUUUGAAACAUUUUGAAUCAAGUUUCAGGUUGAAAGGCGACAUCUGUAACGUCAUGCUGUCCUGCAGCAGGUGUCACUGUGUUCUGCUGUUACAGCUGCUGACAGUCAUAGCUGGCUCUUUUCCUUCAGUAAAGGUGAAUCUUCAUGAUGCUGCUACUCUCCACUGCACUCAGACGUGUUCUGGUCUGGUCACAUGGACUUUAUAUCAUAAACCACAUGACAUUCUGGCUCAGUGUAACCAGACAUCCUGCCAGUCAAAGGAGGGAUUUCACAUGUCCCAUGAUCAGUACCUGAAGGGAGAUCUCUCCCUCACCAUCACUGAUGCUGAUUACACUAAGAGGACCUGGUACACCUGCGCCUGUAAUGGUAAAGACAUCUGUGAUGUGAGUCUGCAGAUAGAGGCCUGUAAUUCUUCAGUUCAGAUUAAGCCUGGUGAACCUCUGGUGCUGGAUUUGCUCAUAUCAGAGUCAGUUGAGGUGAUUUAUAACAGCACAGGUGCAGCUGCUCCCUCUAGUGGACAGAUCUGCACAGUGGCUGGACACUCACUGAAGUGUAAACCUGAAUACACUCGGAGAGUGUCGCUCAUCUCUGCUGUGGAGCUGAGAGGAACCGCACCAUCUGAUAGUGGAGUUUACAGCAUCAGAGACACUAAGAAUGAAGAGAUUAUUCAGACAUACACAGUUACUGUGGAAGGUAAGUGUGGUUACUGUGAUUUUAAUGUUGCCUA
ensembl:lncRNA